AAGAAAUACGGGACAAAACAUGUUUUGUUUGUUUUUUUCAUAAUAAGUCACUAAAAAUAGAGCUGAAAUAGAGCGUCUGGUCAUCCUAUCUUUAAAGACUGCAUCUUUUAUGAAUAUUAACAGAGAGAGAAAGAAAUAGGAAGAGAGAGAGAUGGAGGGAGAUAUGAGCUCCUCGCAGGUAAUGGAGAACCCUUCACAUUGAGCUUUAAAGACUCGAAAGUCUACACAAAAGAAGUCAAGAUCUUAGACCACCCAGAAACAGCCUAAUAAGUCCACAUUUACCUUCAUGGUAUGGAAAAGAAGAGCAUGCCAGCAUCUCCUUUUGUGUGAAGACCGAAAAGUCAUACAACAUAAGGCGUGUGUCGGUGACGGGUUCCCCGCUGCUCCUCCUCUCUCCGUGCAGACUCCCCGCGUAUCGGAACAAAUGCCGGACGGAAGAAAAUAAACCUAUCUCAUUCAGAUGACAACACGUUCCCCCAGGUUCUGAUAACGCGCCAGUUUGAGAGUAGCAGCCGGGGUCAAUUGCUCAUUUCUCGCACAGGGAGGGUGUCUAUCGCUGGUAACGACGCUUCCCUGUGUGCGGCUGAACGGAGUGGAUCAAAUCUCUGCUUUUUGCCAACUGUGGGAACCACGAUCAUCUAUUCUGCAGCUCUGCCACUAUGUGAGAGAGCAAAACAAACUAUUACAAAGCGGGUGUAUUAGAUUUCCUCACUAAUGGUAGUUUAUUGACCAUAUAGGCUACAGGAAAAAUAUCCACAAUAUCUUCACACUUCACACUUACAACUUCAUCUCAAUUCAGUGGAAAAACAAACACUCUUGUUAGUGCUAUCUGUUGAUUUACAUAAACACACUAAAGAAUGCUGGGUUAAAAAUGCACAAACCCAGCAAUUGGGCUGUUUUAACCCAGCGGUUGGGUUAAAUGUUUGCCCAACCUGCUGGGUAGUUGUAUUUAACUCAACUAUUGUUUAAAAAUGUAUUGCUUAAAUUGAACCCAUAUGUCAGAAAUUAACAUUUAUUGAUAUGUUUAAUAUUUAAACAAUUUAGUUU